AUUGAACGCUGGCGGCAUGCCUUACACAUGCAAGUCGAACGGCAGCACGGGUGCUUGCACCUGGUGGCGAGUGGCGAACGGGUGAGUAAUACAUCGGAACAUGUCCUGUAGUGGGGGAUAGCCCGGCGAAAGCCGGAUUAAUACCGCAUACGAUCUACGGAUGAAAGCGGGGGACCUUCGGGCCUCGCGCUAUAGGGUUGGCCGAUAGCUGAUUAGCUAGUUGGUGGGGUAAAGGCCUACCAAGGCGACGAUCAGUAGCUGGUCUGAGAGGACGACCAGCCACACUGGGACUGAGACACGGCCCAGACUCCUACGGGAGGCAGCAGUGGGGAAUUUUGGACAAUGGGCGAAAGCCUGGUCCAGCAAUGCCGCGUGUGUGAAGAAGGCCUUCGGGUUGUAAAGCACUUUUGUCCGGAAAGAAAUCCUUGGCUCUAAUACAGUCGGGGGAUGACGGUACCGGAAGAAUAAGCACCGGCUAACUACGUG
rnacentral:rRNA from 1 species